rnacentral:rRNA from 1 species
UACGUAGGAGACGAGCGUUGUCCGGAAUUACUGGGCGUAAAGCGCGUGUAGGCGGAUGAGCAAGUCUGCUGUGAAAGCUCCUGGCUUAACCGGGAGUGGUCGGUGGAAACUGCUCGUCUGGAGGACGGUAGAGGUAGGUAGAAUUCCCGGUGUAGUGGUGAAAUGCCGUAGAGAUCGGGAGGAACACCAGUAGCGAAGGCGGCCGGCUGGGCCGACCCUGACGCUGAGGAGCGAA